CCAGCACAACACGAGCUAAUCCCAGCUUCACUGGAGCAGCCAUGACUCUAAAAAUUAUCUGCUUUUUUUCCAUGAAGGCUCCCAGGACAGCAGCAUUGGACGGGGGUUGAGGAGCUGCCCUGAACUGGAGAGCUGUAUACCCAAAUGCACAGGCACCACGACAGGAAAGGACUUGAAUUUCCCCAUUUCUGCAGAGAACAAUAAGCAGCAGCAGGAGCUUUCCACUCGUGCUCUCAGAAGAAGCACAAGGACAUCCCUGAAGACUACAGGGCAAAGAAUGGUGAGGAAAAGACACAGAGAGGUUCUUAUCUGGAGCGUGGUUCUGCAGCUACAGAUUUGCCUAAAUUCAGUGUGAUCGCUCCAAACCCUUUGGAGGAGCUCGUGCACCGAGGGGAAGGGUGAGAGGCAAUUGUCAGCAGCUGGCUGGAUUAAAUAUGGACAGAUAUUAUUCAUGUCAUUUGACAGUUCCUGACUCUCAGCUGUAUAAUGACAGAGCAACAGUAGGAAUUCCAGCAGCCCAGCUUCUGUCUUACUUCAAGAUAAGCUUAUCAACCGUAGCCUGAAUCCAUUCAGCUCCUCAGCAGAUCAGAGCUCGUGUCAGGCUGAGCUGAUUCCUGCUUCCUGCCCUGCUCUGCACGUCCCUGUGGGCUGGGCUUUGCCAGCUCACAGCUGCCUUGCAGGGCUUUCAGCAGACAGACUGUGCCCUGUGUGUGCUGUGCCCCUUGUCCAGGGCAGCCCUGGAUGCCCCUGGUGCCCCCGAGUGCCCCUGGAGCAGAGCAGGGCAGGAGGGACCGGGGGUGCCAGCCCUGCUGGGCUUUGCUCUCCUCUGCAGCUCCUUCAUCUGCAAAGAGCAGCUGCUUUGUUUGGCUUCUUAAGGUGCAAACUUCAUCCUGAGGAUUUUCCCGUGCCGUCCACGCCAGAGAUUCAGAGGGAUCUCGGAACAAUGCAGGAAUCACAGCUGUCACUGCACACUCCGUGGUUCGGGGUUAAGAAUUGACCAAGAGUCUGGAAUUUCCCUUGUGUGCCCUCCACAUUACAGCACCAACUUGUGGGGUUUGGUGUCAGGGGACAAUCGUGGGUUCAGAGAACUUCUGGCAGGAGCAUUUAAGCUUCAUCUCCGACUCGCAUUGGGAAAUUAGGGGCUAAUUAAGUCCACAGGGGCAGUACUCAGGUGAAAGACUGCUGGGUCCCUCCCGAAAUUCCCUUCUGCA